AAGUUGCAAUGGCUCCGAGUGCGUUUGUAACCGGUCUACAGUCUAAAAACCAGCAAAGUUACCAGCUCAAGUUAUUCGUUUCUUUUGAAUCGCGAGAGUGGAUGUACCGCUCGAACUGUUCUAUCUGCCUUAAAGGAACAAAGCCGAGUUGGAGAGCACGCUGGCUUUGCUUUCCAAGGAACAAUUUGCGUUAGACCCUACAUGUACGCGCUUCAAUAUAGUAUCUUAUUCAGCAUUUUUAAAAGUCGAGACUGCAACCAACGUUUUCAAACCAAGACUUCGUGUUAUACGUAAAAAGGAAAAUUGGAAGAGGGAAUGUAAAGCGGAUUGAAUUCAGUCUCAAAGUCUUUGUCUAGGUAGUUCCGGGUGUUUCCCCUCAGCUGACUAUAAAACACGCUAUAGGUCUAGUCAACUUUCGGCUAAGCAAGUUACUAAACAACUCCAAAUGCAAAAAGAUAUUACACGGUCCACUGAUGGUCCAACCUCUGACUAGGUUACAUUACUUUUAUUUGGAUCCAACAGAUUCAACUGACAGAUUAUGCAGUAGACACUGCUAUACUCUGGAAUUCACACUGGACACAAGAUAGCCACAAUCUGAUACACAAUACAUGUAUGCAAUUACUGACCUGUUAACUGUGCACAGAUCUAAAUAAGUAUUGGUAUUCAUUAAUUAUGAAAGAAUUUUAAAAAAUGGUAUCAAGUAUCGCGGUUUAAUGAAUAAAAAACGUGUAUUUUCAGAAAAUUCGUUUUAUUUAGAUCAAAGGACGGCAAUUUCCAGACUGGAAAUUCUUCUUUUAUCGACUGGUUAAUUCAAUUGAAGUGGACGGAUUGCAGAUCUUGGGACGUUAUUGAAGCUUUUUUCUAACUGCCUGGAAUAUAAAGAAAGGCCAAUAUUUUUCUGAGCAUGAAAUUGUUAAGAAAUAUUUCGAACAGCAACGGUUACGAAAGUGCCGCAAAUCAAAAUAUGCCAUUGUAACAAAAUUAUGCUACUGCCAUUGUUAAACUAACCUUUUUUAACGACCGUAGCCUUUUCCAGCAGCGUGACUUCCAUAACCUCCACUCAUCAGUGCAGAAUGACCUCCAUAUACCCCGCUCAUUUGUGAUCCAGGGCCACCGUAACCUUUGGCUGCCGAUGCUGCAUGACCUCCAUA